UCGAAGGUGAUGUGGCUGGCGCAGAAGUAGUCGGCCUCGACGGCGAAGGAGGCGGAGUAGAAGGUGCCGACCUGGUGCCCCGACGGGUCGGUGUCCGACGCCCGCGCGUUCCAUGUGAUCACCGUGCGCCCGGUCCCCAUGCCGAUCAGCGACACGAACGGCUUCGUGAUCGGCACCGUCACCUUCUCCCUGCACCCACCACGUCCCAUGCCCUUAGCUUGUUAGUUCAGUUGUUAUUACACCGUCCAACAUAUGCACACAAAAAAGAACUGCAUUGGUAGAAGGUCUUUUCUCGUUGGAGCUAGCCUGCUAAUAGUAUGAACCCAUUCUGCAGUAAUUCCUACUCCUACAUUAUAAACAAAAAUACACGAUAUUUUUCCUGAUUAGAACCAACAUACUCUACAGAUUUAGUAGCCUGCAUUGUCACUAGGAUAGAAAUGGAAAAUUACUAGCUUCUGUAGCUAGCUGCUACCAGCAGGCAGCAAACACAUAGCUAGCUUAGAUGGCUAGAAAUGGCCGGCUGUUGAGAAGCUAGGGAGGAAAGAACACGCUGUAACUUAAUGGCUCCCUUAACUCUUGAAGGCAGUUACUACGAGUCUACUCGAGAUCGAUCGAGGGGCGGCGGUGGUGAUCGCCUCACCUGUACACCCCGGGCCUGACGAGGAUCUUGACCCGGCGAGUGUUCCCGGCGGGCACCAUGUCGACGGCGCCCUGCACGGUCCGCGAGUGCCCCAUCCCNNNNNNNNNNNNNNNNNNNNNNNNNNNNNNNNNNNNNNNNNNNNNNNNNNNNNNNNNNNNNNNNNNNNNNNNNNNNNNNNNNNNNNNNNNNNNNNNNNNNUCAUCACCAACACUCCUCUCGUCGGAGGGGAGUCAUCUCCAUCAACAUCUUCAUAAGCACCAUCUCCUAUCCAAACCCUAGUUUAUCUCUUGUAACCAAUCUCUGUCUCGUGACUCCGAUUGGUACUUAUAAGGUUGCUUGUAGUGUUGAUUACUCUUUCUAGUUGCUGCUAGUUGGAUUACUUGGUGGAAGAGUUUAUGUUCAGAUCCUUGAUGCUACUCAUUACACCUCUGAUCAUGAUUAUGAUUAUUCUUUGUGAGUAGUUACUNUAUGUGAACGUCGACUACAUAACACUUCACCAUAUUUGGGACGAGAGGAAGGCAUUGGGGAGUAGUAAGUAGACGAUGGGUUGCUAGAGUGACAGAAGCUUAAACCCCAGUCUAUGUGUUGCUUCGUAAGGGGCUGAUUUGGAUCCACUAGUUUAAUGCUAUGGUUAGACGUUUUCUUAAUUCUUCUUUCGUAGUUGCGGAUGCUUGCAAGAGGGGUUAAUAAUAAGUGGGAUGCUUGUCCAAGUAAGGGCAGUACCCAAGCACCGGUCCACCCACAUAUCAAACUAUCAAAGUAAUGAACGUGAAUCACAUGAACAUGAUGAAACUAGCAUGACAGAAAUUCCCGUGUGUCCUCGGGAGCGUUUUUCCUCCUAUAAGACUUUGUUCAGGCUUGUCCCUUGGUACAAAAGGGAUUGGGCCACUUUGCGGCACCUUUGCUACUACUUGUUACUUGUUACUUUUCACUUGUUACGUUUCACCUCACUACACCACCACUUGUUACCGCUAGUUUCAGUGCUUGCAGUUAUUACCUUGCUGAAAACCGUUAAUCAGAGCCUUCUACUCCUCGUUGGGGUCGACACUCUUACUUAUAGAAAGGACUAUGAUUGAUCCCCUGUACUUGUGGGUCAUCAAGACUCUUUUCUAGCGCCGUUGCCGGGGAGUGAAGUGCCUUUGGUAAGUGGAAUUUGGUAAGGAAACAUUUAUAUACUGUGCUGAAAUUUAUUGUCAAUUGUCACUAUGGAAACUGUUCCUUUGAGGAAUUUGUUAGGGGUAUCUUCACCACGAACGGAAGCACGAGGAGUUUCUCCUCAACCUGAGGUACCUACUGAAAAUAUCUUUUAUGAAAUUCCUUCGGGUAUGCUUGAGAAACUGCUGGGUAAUCCUUUUACAGGAGAUGGAUCAUCACAUCCGGACUUGCAUCUAAUCUAUAUAGAUGAAGUUUGUGGUUUAUUUAAGCUUGCAGGUUUGCCCAAGGAUGAGGUAAAGAAGAAAGUCUUUCCUUUAUCUUUGAAGGAUAAGGCGUUGACAUGGUAUAGGCUAUGUGAUGAUACUGGAUCAUGGGACUAAAAUUGGUUGAAAUUUGAAUUUCAUCAAAAGUUUUAUCCUAUGCAUUUAGUACACCGUGAUCGGAAUUAUAUUUAUAACUUUUGUCCUCGUGACAGGGAAAGCAUAGCUCAAGCUUGGGGGAGGCUUAAAUCAAUGAUAUAUUCAUGCCCCAAUCAUGAGCUCUCGAGAGAAAUUAUCACUCAAAACUUUUAUGCUCGGCUUUCUCAUGAAGAUUGUACCAUGCUUGACACUUCUUGUACCGGUUCUUUUAUGAAGAGGGAUAUUGACCACAAGUGAAAUUUAUUGGAAAGAAUCAAACAUAACUCUAAAGAUUGGGAGCUUGAAGAAGGUAAGGAGUCAGGUAUGAAUUUCCAGUUUGAUUGCGUUAAAUCUUUUCUUGAAACAAACACUUCUAGAGAUUUUAGCGCUAAGUAUGGACUUGACUCUGAGAUAGCAGCUUCUCUAUGUGAAUCGUUUGCUGAUCAUGUUGAUCUUCCCAAAGAGAAGUGGUUUAAGUAUCAUCCUCCUGUAGAAGUCAACACAGUUAAACCCAAUCUAGUUGAAGAGAAAGUCAUUGCCUUUAGUGAUCCUAUUGUUCCUUGUGCCUAUGUUAAGAAACCACCUUACCCUGCUAGGAAAAAGGAUUAUUCUAAAGCUCCAACUGUGAUACGUAGGGCUUACAUUAGACCACCUGCACCCCUUGAGGAAAUUAGAGUUGAACCUAGUGUUGCUAUUAUCAAAGAUCUCUUAGCCGAAGACCUAGACGGGCAUGUUAUCAAAUUCUGUGAGGACUCCGCUAGAAUUGCUUAACCUCACACGAAAGACAAAUACGGACCUGUAGUUGGCCUGCCCGUUGUUUCUGUCAAGAUAGGAGAUCACUGUUAUCAUGGUUUAUGUGAUAUGGGUGCUAGUGUUUGUGCAAUACCCCGGUCCCUAUAUGAUGAAAUCAAAUAUGAGAUUGCACAUGCUGAGUUAGAACCCAGUGAUGUCACUAUUACGCUAGCUAAUAGAGACACUAUCUGCCCUGUGGGAAUUGUGCGAGAUGUAGAAGUCUUGUGUGGUAAGACGAAGUAUCUUACUGAUUUCCUCGUCCUUGCUACUGCACAAGAUAGCUUUUGUCCCAUCAUAUUUGGCAGACCCUUUCUCAACACUGUCAAUGCUCAUAUUGAUUGCAUUAAAUAAACUAUCACUGUCAGUUUCGAGGGUGUGUCUCAUGAAUUUAACUUCUCCAAGUUUGGAAGACAACCCCAUGAAAAAGAGUCGUCUGGUAGGGAUGAAAUCAUUGCUCUUGCCUCCAUUGUCAUACCUCCUACGGAUCCUCUAGAGCAAUAUCUGCUUGAGCAUGAAAAUGAUAUGCAUAUGGAUGAAAGAGAUGAGAUAGAUAAAAUUGUUUUAGAAGAAUAUCCUAUUCUCAAGAAUAAUCUGCGUGUUGAACUUCUUGGGGAUCCUCCCCCGCCAAAGGGUGAUCCUGUGUUCAAGCUAAAACAGUUACCAGAUACUCUUAAGUAUGCCUACCUUGAUGAGAAGGAGAUAUAUCCUGUUAUUAUUAGUGCUCACCUCUCGAAUCACGAAGAUAAGAAGUUAUUAAAAACUUUGAGGAAGCACCGUGCGUCUAUUGGAUAUACUCUUGAUGAUAUUAAGGGUAUUAGUCCCACUCUAUGUCAGCACAAGAUUAAAUCUGAUCCUGAUUCUAAACCAGUUGUUGAUCAUCAAAGGUGAUUAAAUUCUAGGAUGAAAGGGGUCGUGAGAAAAGAUUUAUUAAAGCUUCUCNNNNNNNNNNNNNNNNNNNNNNNNNNNNNNNNNNNNNNNNNNNNNNNNNNNNNNNNNNNNNNNNNNNNNNNNNNNNNNNNNNNNNNNNNNNNNNNNNNNNGUGACGAUUUCCCCCUCCAGGAGGGAAGUUUCCCCGGCAGGAUCGUCCUGCCCGAGCUCUAGAUUGGUUCUGCUCAAGUUCCGCCUCGUGGCGGCGGAGAAUCCACGAAAAAGCUCUACCUUGAUUUUUUUCUCGGACGAACCCUUCAUAUAGCAAAAGAGGGGGGCCAGUGGGCCACCAGUGUGCCCACAAGCCCUGUAGCCGCCGCCAGGGGGGUAGGUGGCGGCUACCAGGCUUGUGGGCCCCUGGUAGCUCCCCUGUGGCACUUCUUCCGCCCAAUAUUUUUUAUAUAUUCCCAAAAAAUUACAUGUUGAUUUUCAGGGCAUUUGGAGUUGCGCAGAAUAGAGGACUCAGACUUGCUCCUUUUCUAGUCCAGAAUUCUAGUUGCUGGUAUUCUCCCUCUUCAAAUAAACCUAGCAAAAUAAGAGAGAAAAGGCGUAAGAAUGGUACAACAAAGUAAUAUAACAGUCCAUAAAGCGAUAAAUAUCAACAUGAAAGCAUGAUGCAAAAGGGACGUAUCAACAUGCUCUAUAAAUCAUUGAGGAGUUUGAGUUAUACGAUGAAGAUCCACCCCUAAAAAUGUAUGUCUUCUGUUGAAGACUUUGGUCUUACCUUGAAGACUUUGAUCGCGAAGAAAUUGCGAUGAAAUUGAUAUUCCUCAUGAAGAUAUUCAAGAUGAGGAAUUAGGUGUGUCCUGAAGGAAAACAGUGUGAAGACUUUGAAGCGUGAAGAUUUUCUCUUUCUGUUUCAUUUUCUUUACUCUUGAGUCAUAGGAACACCGUACUGUUAAAGGGGGUCGAGGUAAUACUACGGAAUGAAUUUCCUCAUGAUGCUUAACCCAAGCCUAGACCUACCAAAGCCUCAAAGUGAGGAAUAUGAGAAACAUGAGGACUUUCAUAGUUGAAAGUUCCGACCGUUGCCGCAACACGGGCCACCUCACUUUUCUUAUCCACCCAACGGUCACAUUAUUUAAGGGCAUUUAUGUCAAAUCAUGUCGGGAUGCUCCCAGGCUAUAAAUAGCCUCCCCCCACAACCACUAGCUGGUUGGCUGCUCCGAGAGAAACUGACACUAGUCAUUUAGAGCAACCAAAAUUCCUCAGAGUCUUUGAGAGAAAAUCAUCAAGUGAGGAAAUACCCCAAACACCAAAUUCCAAACCAAAAACCAAGUGAUUGAGAAUCACUGAAGAAUUUGUUCCUAUGUGGAACUGAAGCCUUUUACCUUUGAGGAUUGUGCAUCCUCCGGACGGUUAGGCAUCAUGGUCUAGAGCAUCCAAUAGUCAAUUGUGGAUCGCCGGGUGACCGAGUUUGUGAGGGUUUGGAAGUCUGCCCUGAAGACUUACCACAAGUGUUUGGCGAGGACUGUGUGUCCUUAGAUCAAGGAGAAUAUGGUAAAGCAGUUGGAACUAGGUCAUCACAACUGUCUUCAUCGUGAUACGGGUUCUAUUUCUUCAACUCUUUCAUUUCCUCAAAUUGUAUGUUGAAGACUUUGAUAUGCACUGUUGAAGAAAUUGUUUGAAGACUUUCUCUGAAUUUCCUCAACCUCAAAUUCUUCACUUAAGAUAAUCUUCACCUGCUUACUCUGUACUUGCGAACUCUGCAAACCGAUUCUCAUAAUCUUCAACAAGAAUCUGCUAUUGAAGUUUUUGCACACCUGAUCAUGUACUACUUCCGCUGCACUUAAUUCGUCAUUGAGGACUUUCCUCACAAGGAAUUUCCUCAGCGAUGAAAUUCUAAAAAUCGCCUAUUCACCCCCCCUCUAGUCAAUAUAACGCACCUUCAAUUGGUAUCAGAGCAAGGUACUCCCUUGUUCUGUGUGAUUUUGGUGUAAUCACCUGGAGUUUUAGUUAUGUUGACCACAGGUAUGAUCAAGGCUACUGCAGGAUGUCCUACCUUUGAAGGUAAGGACUUUCCCUACAGGAAGACCAAGAUGCAGAUGCUUCUUCAGGCUAUUGACAAUGAUCUCUGGUAUAUUGUGGAACGUGGUAUUCCCUCCAUCACUGCUACUAUGUUUGCCGCUGUUGUGAAGAAAUUCAAGCAACUUGACUCACAAGCAAAGAAUAUCAUCUGUGGCCAUCUGAGCAAGGGUCAGUAUGGCAGAGUGAGUACUUUGGGCACAACUAAGCUUAUCUAGGAUAGUCUGUCCAAAGUCAAUGAAGGAAUCUCAACUCAGCGUGACUCUCGUGUUGAUGUUCUUUGCAAUCUCUUCAAUCGCUUCAAAAGGCUUGACAACGAAAGCUGCCAAGAUACCUUUGAUCGCCUCACUGACAUCUCAAGUGAACUCUAAGCACUGGCAGCUCGAGACAUUAGUGACCAUGAAGUUGUGAAGAAAUUGCUAAGAUCUCUUGAUCCAUCAUUUGAUACACUGGUUUUGAUGAUUCAAGAAAGAGGAGACUAUAAGAUGCUUGAUCCUCUUGAUAUACUUGAAAGACCCAAUACUCAUGAAUUCCAACAAGAAGAAAAGAGAGAUCUGUAUGGACCAAGAUACUCAAGACCUUGUGCGCUGAAGGCUAAAGCAAUAUCUUCAUCCGAAGAAGAAGACUCGGACGGCAGCAUUGGUGACCCUGAAGAACUUGGACAAGAGCUUGCAAUGCUCGUGAGGAAAUUCUAGAAGUUUACAAAGUGUGGCCAGUUUGGUAAAUCUUCAAGAAGAGAUAUGAGGAAAUCAGAAUCUUCAUCUGAGGACUACAAGAAAAGAACCUGUCACAAAUGUAAGAAAUAUGGUCACUACAUAGCUGACUAUCCUUGCUGGGUGAAAGAAUCAAAGAAGAAGAAAUACAAGGAUGAAAGUUUUGAUGACUCAAAGAAAAAGAAGANUUGUCAUCCUCAAAGUCCUCAUCGCACAAGAAGACCAGUUUCAGAAAGGCCUGGCACUCAUUGGCAAGGAAAUGGAUUAUGAGGAAGAAUCUGAGGAAUGUGAUGAAGAGGAAGGUUCUGAAGAAGAUUCAAAGUCUGGUGUGGCAAGUCUUGCACUGUCUACCACAUUCGUCAACAAGUUAAUCUUCAACCUUGAAGAAAAUGACAACGCUAUCUACACUAAUGACUAUGAUGACGACUUCGCUCCAACCUAUUGCUUCAUGGCAAAAGGUUCAAAGGUACCAAAUGAUACUUCCUCCUUUGACUCAAGUGAUGGUUAACGUGAUGAUUAUAAAAACCCAGUUACAGUAAACUUGCCAACAUUGCAACUAAACCACAAAGUGCCAUUGAAAAGCUUCAAAAACUGCUAGAAAAAAGCGAUGAUCUGUUGAAUGAUGAAAUGAAUCGUACUCAAGUCCUCACUGAAGAUGUGAAAAGUCUUCAAUCUAGAUUUGAUAGUCUUCAAGAUCAUUACGACACACUCUUGGCUGAUCAUGAGAAACUUUUCUAUGAAUUUCGUCAAAGGAAACUUGAUCAUGAGAAGUUGAAGAUGUCUCAUGAUGAUCUUUGAAUGGAAAAUGAUUCAUUGCUUUCUCAACAGAUCAGUGCCACUCAGGUUGAAUUCAUUCCACCAUGUUUGAAAUGCAUUGAACGUGAAACUCCUAAUUCUUCACCAGACUAAUCAAAUGCUUCUACCGCCACAAAUUCUUCAACUGUCCCUAUGGUAUCAAAUUCUUCACUUGAGGAAACCACAAAUGCUACUAACGAAAAUGCAGGGUUGAAGGAAUUGUAUGUGACAUGCAUAUACAAAAGCCUCAAAGGGCAUCAAACCCUUUGCGAUGUGCUCAAAAAGAAGAUUCUGAACAGGAACACGAGGAAAGAAGGCAUUGCCUUUGAGAGGAAAUUAACUGCCGAUGGAUCAUACUGGAAACCUCAGCAGUACCCCAAAACCUCAUGGGUUGCUGCUAAAGGACCUUUGUCGAUCCAUCCACCCUAACAUGCUUUGCAUGUGAAAUAUCCCAUUCCUGUGAUGAGUCAUGUGACUCAAAUUAUAAACUGUUCAAAAAUCGAUAUGGUGAAGUAUUUGCUCGAUAUGUUGGAGCUAACUACAGGAACGGACCACCCCUGAGGAAAAUCUGGGUCCCCAAAAGUUGCUUCGAAAAUCUUCAGGUGAAUGUCCUCAUGACACCACGUGCGAAGAACCUGAACCGCAGAUCAAAUUCCUCAGGUGGACCAAAGUCUUCAAGAGGAUCAAAAUCCUCAAAUGUUUAAUACUAUGCUCAUAAUCGUGCUAAUGCUUCUGAUAUGCAGGGAAAUUACAAGGGAUAUGAAUAUGAGCAUUAUUCCUCAAAUCAUUAUGUUCAUAAAUCCUCAAAGAACUUCUCUUCCUAUUCAUCUGAGUACUCCAAUCCCCCUAUUGUGAAUAGAAGUGCAUUAGCUUGAAUGCCUCCAUUCUCAUAUGGGGCUCGUAGGAUGAUGAACUCUUUUCCACCCCUUCAUAUGUGGGUGGUGAAUAAAUUGAACUCAUCACUUCUGCAGGUGAGGUCUCCAGAUGAAAGUCAUCAUCUCAAGAAUUUGCUGGAGACCUAAGGAAAUUGCUUGAUUGGAUACAAGCUAAAAUUGAUGAAAUGAUAACAUUUCACACAUCCUCAAAUUAGCUGUUUAUGAUGAAAUACUUAACUGAUGAAAUUGAUAUCAUAUUCUUCAAGUCUGAAGCAUAUGAGAUGGUAAGCUGUACUAAUUCAUCUGCAGGAUGACAAACCCAAGAAUACAGAGCGGGUUCUUGACAGUGGUUGCACAAACCACAUGACUGGUGAUAAAAGCUUGUUGAUGAAUAUGCCACUGACUCCAUCACCACUGAAGCAAAUCACUUAUGCUGAUAAAGGGAAAAGCAAGGUAUUAGGACUUAGCAAAGUGGCUAUUUCCAAGGACAGUCACAUGGACAAAGUUAUGCUUGUCGAAUCCCUUGGGUUUAACCUCAUGUCAGUCUCAAUGCUUUGUGAUCUUGAUAUGGUUGUUAUCUUUGGAAAAUACAGAUGCGUAGUCAUCAUGGAAUCUAAGAAAUCCAAAGUAUUUGAAGGCUUUAGGAGAGGAUAUUUGUACAUUGUUGAUUUUUCCAUAGGUCCUCAAGCAGCCACAUGCUUACUAGCAAAAACCUCAGAAGGUUGGUUAUGGCAUCGACGUCUGGGUCAUGCAGGAAUGAGGAAUUUGCACAUGCUGGCGAAGAAGAAGCAUGUCAUUGGCAUUGAAUCCUUCAAAUUCCUCAAGGACCAUCUCUGCGGUGCUUGUGAGUCUGAAAAAAUGACCAGAUCCAAACACCCCUCAAAUACUAUCAUGACUACUACUCGCCCGUUCGAAUUGCUUCACAUCGGUCUGUUUGGACCUACUCAUUAUGCCACUCUAACCAAUGCAUCAUCUUUAUAUGGCUUUGUUAUCGUUGAUGACUAUUCUCGAUACACUUGGGUACAUAUCAUUAUGUAUAAAACUGAAGUGCAGGAAGUCUUCAAACGAUUUUCCUCAAGGGCCUCGACGAACUUCGGUGUCAAGAUCAAACACAUCAGGAGUGACAAUGGGACAGAAUACAAAAACACUGGUCUUGAUGAUUAUCUUGAUGAACUUGGUAUUACUCACGAAUUGUCUGCUCCUUAUACUCCUCAAGAGAAUGACAUUGUUGCAUGCAAGAACAGGAGUCUGGUUGAAAUGGCAUGGACUAUGCUUGAAGAAUAUCAGACCCCUCAUUGCUUCUAGCAUGAAGCAAUCAACACUGCUUGCCACAUCAUCAACCGGGUAUAUCUUCACAAAUUCCUCAAGAAAACCUCAUAUGAACUCCUCACUGACAAGAAACCCAAUGUAAGUUAUUUCAAAGUCUUUGGUGCAAGAUAAUGGAUUAGAGAUCCUCACCAUAGCUCAAAGUUUUCACCUAAAGCACAUGAGGGUUUUAUGCUUGGUUACGGAGAGGACUCACACACCUACAGAGUCUUCAACACCUAUCACAACAAGGUUGUUGAAACUGUAGAUGUGCGGUUCGAUGAAACUAAUGGCUCGCAAAGAGAGCAACUGCGUCUUGUGCCAGAUAAAUUGUCUCCUCAGGAAGCCAUCAAGCUCAAAGCUACUGAAAUAUCAUUCGUACUGAGGAAAUUGCUGAAGAAGUCGUCCCCAACAGUGAUGAAAUUCAAGCAGGUGCACCUGAGGAAAUUGCUCCAGAUCAAAUUCCUCGGCCCAACCAAAGUCUUAAACCAGCCCAUUCAAGGAUUGCAAAUGAAGUGGAACUUGACAAAAUCCUCGAUGGCAUUAAUACACCAGGUCCUCUCACUCGCUCAAAAGCUUGACAUUUAGAUAACUUUUGUGGGUAUUCCUUGUUUGUGUCUAUCAUAGAACCCUCAAAAGUUGUUGAAGCCUUCAUGGAACCUGAGUGGAUUCAAGCCAUGCAAGAUGAACUUCUUCAGUUCAAGCUAAAUGACAUGUAGGAACUCGUCAAACGAACAGAUCCUCGCAAGCACAAUAUCAUCGGCACCAAGUGGAUUUUCCAAACAAGCAAGAUGAGGAUUGUAAAGUGGUGAGGAAUAAGGCACGACUUGUAUCCCAAUGCUACACACAGGUUGAAGAAAUUAAUUUCGAUGAAAAUUUUGCACCUGUUGCUAGACUUGAAGCUAUUCGGAUACUACUUGCUUAUUAUAAUCAUCAUAAUAUUACUCUAUAUCAAAUGGAUGUGAAAAGUUCAUUCCUCAAUGGUAAGCUUGAGGAAGAAGUAUAUGUUGCUCAGCCCCUAGGUUUUGAAGAUCCGAAGCAUCCUGACAGAGUCUUCAGACUCAAAAAGGCACUCUAUGGCCUCAAGCAAGCCCCUCGGGCCUGGUAUGACACAUGGAAGGAAUUUCUCAUGAAGAAAGGCUUCAAACCUGGUUCACUUGAUCCAACUCUUUUCACAAAAUCUUAUGACAAUGAACUAUUUGUAUGCCAAAUAUAUGUCGACGACAUUAUGUUUGGUUGUACUGACAAACGUUACACUGCUGAAUUUGCAUACAUGAUGAGUGAAGAAUAUCAGAUGUCUAUGAUGGGGGAGCUGAAAUUCUUCUUAGGUCUUCAAAUUCGUCAACAACGCAAUGGCAUCUUCAUAUCUCAAGAGAAAUACCUCAAGGGCGUUCUGAGGAAAUUCGACAUGCAUGAAUGCAAAGGCGUCAAGAUUCCUAUGCCUGCCAAGGGCCACCUCUGCAUUGACGAAAAUGGUAAAGAUUUCGAUCAGCGGGUAUAUCGCUCUAUGAUUGGCUCUUUAUUGUAUCUAUGUGAUCUAGGCCAGAUAUAAUGCUCAGUGUUUGCAUGUGUGCUCGUUCUCAAGCAAAACCGAAGGAAUCACACCAUAAGGUUGUGAAACAUAUUCUUCGAUACUUAGCUCACACACCAACACUAGGAUUAUGGUACCCCAAGGGCUCAAAUCUUCACCUUGUUGGAUAUUCUGAUUCUGAUUAUGCUGGUGACCGUGUGGAUCGCAAGUCAACAUCAGGCACAUGUAAUUUCCUCGGAAGAUCAUUAGUCUGCUAGUCCUCAAAGAAGCAGAACUGUGUUUCUCUCUCUACUACCAAAGCACUUCCGCUCAUUAGUCUGUCGAAGAUCAUUAGGCUGCCGAAGUUUUUGCACACCUGAUCAUGUACUACUUCCGCUGCACUUAAUUCAUCAUUGAGGACUUUCCUCACAAGGAAUUUCCUGAGCGAUGAAAUUCUAAAAAUUGCCUAUUCACCCCCCUCUAGUCGAUAUAACGCACUUUCAGUUAUGUGCUUAUUUUAAUGAUUCUAUGGUUUAUAUCGGGGGCAUAAGCCAUGGUAGAGUUAGAAUACAGUAGGUAUAAUGCAAAAACAAAAUUGGAAUAGGUUAUCAUAAAUACCGAUAAUAAAGUUUGGUUUUCUUAUACUAACUGAUCUAACGAAAAUUUUGUAGAGUUUUGUGUGAUUAAAGUUUUCAAGUUUUUAGUCACAUCAUGAUGGAUGAAGGAAUAAGGAGUGAUAAAAUCCUAAGCUUGGUGAUGCCCCAUGUCACCCCAAGGCAAUAUCUAAGGAUUACCAAGCAACUACGCCUGGGGAUGCCCCGAAAGGCAUCCCCUCUUUCUUCUACAAACCAUCGUUAAUAUUACUUGGAGUUAUAUUCUUAUUCGUCACAUAUCAUGAGUUUUGCUUGGAGCAUCUUGUAUCAUUUGUUCCUUUGCUUUAUUUGCUGGUUAGUUUAUCAUAAUAAACCUUGUUGUACACACCCAUUUGAGAGAGCUAAAUUAUGCUAUGAUUUGUUAGAAUCGCUCUUUAUGCUUCACUUAAAUUUUUUUGAGCCAUGGAAUUUCUCAAGUACUUCAUUUAUAUCUUUUUGAGCAUGAUGGUGCUGUUAUUUUAAAGAAAUUUUCUCUCGUGCUUCACUUAGAUAAUUUUUAGAGUUGCUGAAAUUUUGAAGAAAUCCCCUCUUGCUUUACUUAUAUAACUUUGAGGAUUGAAAAUUUUAAAGAAACUUGUGCUCUCGUUCUUCACUUAUAUUUGUUUGAGAGCUUCUUAUUUGCAAUGGAAGUUUUCUUUAAAUGAAAAUUACUCCCAAAGUGAUGAAUGUCCAGGAAAGAUAUAAUAAAAUCUUUCAUGAAGAUCAUUGGAUAUUAAGCUUGAUUCUUUGCAACAGUUUUGCGAUAUGAACAUAGUUAUGUGUGAGUUAUGUUGAUGAGUAAUUAUGCUCUAGUAAGAAUAUUGGUGUUAAGAUUUGUGAUUCCCUAUACAUACACAUGAAGUCAAUAAUUAUGCUAUGAAAUUACAUCCUACUUGUGUUGCAUCAUUCGGUGUUAGUUAUGUUUAAUGUUCACUUAUGAUGAUUUUUGUUCCUUGGUUGGGCGCUUCUCAAUCUAUUGGCUAGCCUUCACUUGUACUAAGCGGGAAUAGUGCUUGUGCAUACAAAUCCUAAACCCAAAGUUGUGCCAAAUGAAUCCACCAUACCUACCUAUAUGUGGUAUUUCAACGUUGUUCCAAGUAAUUUUGCAUGUGCCAACUCUAAUGUUCAAAAUAAAUUGCUGGUUUGUGUGCCUGUACCGCCCAUGAAGCGGUGGGGGGUGGCUGGUAUCUUCCAUGUUAAAUAGGUUAUUCUAAAGAUGAGUGUUUAUUCACUUGUCACUUCAUGACAGUAUGGCGGUAAUAGGGAUGCCAGUCCCAAAAAUAAAAAGAAAAUUAUGCUAUCAAAUAAUAAAUUCCUUGGGAAGUGUUGGUAUGGACAAUACCCGUGGAUACUGCUAGCCGUGGAAUGUGAAAGAAUGAUGGAUGAAGGAACAAACUUUAUUUUCAGUUUGGCAAUUGCCUAUAAUUUGUUUUGCAUGGAGGAUAUUAGAAACCCUUAGUUAUUCUCGUUGACACGAAAAACAUGCCACCCUAAAAAAAUUAUCUCUAAGUUUUUCACUUUGAGCUCCGGCACCUCUACAAAUCCCUACUUCCCUGUGUGAAGGGCCUAUCUAUUUACCUUAUGCAUUUUUAUUUUGAAUUUGAGUCUUCAUCUUCUCUUAUUAAGCACCAAGUAAGGAACACCAUUUUCAUAAUUGAGCAUUGGAUGUAGUUAAUAUUUGAGUGUGUUGCAUGAAUGGAUCAAUCAUAUAGCAUGAUGGGCUAGGGAUAACGUUCUUUAGCAUUGAUAUUUUGAAAGACUUGGUUGCUUGGUUGAUAUUCUUGAGUAUUGAAAUUUUCAUGUCAAAUUAUAGAUUAUUUCUUUGAAUCAUCUAUAAGUCCAUAUGUCCAUACUGAAAGAAAAAGAAUAUGAUGAACAUGUGAGGCAGCAUUCCACAUCAAAAAUUCUAUUUUUAUCAUUUACCUACUCGAGGACGAGCAGGAAUUAAACUUGGGGAUGUUGAUAUGUCUCCAACGUAUCUAUAUUUUUUAUUGUUCCAUGCUAUUAUAUUAUUAUUCUUAGAUGUUUUAUGAUUAUUUUAUAGCAAUUUUAUAUCAUUUUUUGGGACUAAGCUAUUGACAUAGUUCCUAGUGCCACUUGUUGUUUUUUGUUGUUUUUUCCUUCACAGAAAAUCCAUAUGAGAUGAGGUCCAAUUGACACGAAACUUUACGAAGAUUUUUUGGGACCAGAAGGAAACUUGGGAGCCAAGAAUGAGCAGCACACGAGACCCAAGGGACCCACUACACAUUAGGGCGCGCUAGAGGCCCCUGGCGUGGCCUCGUCUCUAGUGGGUCCUCGGGCACCUCCUCCACCACAUUUGAUCUCUAUAAAUACCCCAAUAUUUCGAAAACCAUAGAGGAGUCGACAAAAAAUCGUUUCAGCAGCCGCAAGUUCCAGAGCCACAAAAUCCAAUAUAGAGCCCGUUCCGGAGAGUAACGCGAUCAUGGAGGUGUUCACCAUCCUCAUUGGUGCUCCUCCGACGAUGUGUGAGUAGUUCAUAUCAGACCUACGGGCAGUAGCUAGAUGGCUUUCUCUCUCUUUUUUUCUCAAUACAAUGGUCUCUUGGAGAUCCAUAUGAUGUAAUCUUUCUUUUGCGGUGUAUUUGUUGGGAUCUAGUGAAUUUUUAGUUUAUGCUCAGACCUAUGAAAACAUAUUGAUGCUUGAUUAUUAUAGCCUCGUAUUUCUUCUCUGAUAUUUGGUUUUUUUAUGGCCCACUUGAUCUUUUAUCUUGCAAUGGGAAGAGGUGCUUUGUGAUGGGUUCGAUCUUGUGGUGCUCAAUUUCAGUGACAGAAAGAGACACGACACGCAUGUAUGUUGCUAUCAAGGAUAAAAUUAUGGGGUCUAUUCCUACAUGAAUAGAUCUUGUCUACAUCAUUUCAUCGUUCUUAAGGCAUUACUCCCUUUCUCCAUGAACUCGAUACACUAGAUGCAUGCUGGAUACGUUCGAUGUGUAGAGUAAUAGAAGUAGAUCCACGAAGAAGUCGGUCUACUUAUCUUUGACGUGAUGCCUAUAUACAUGAUCGUUGUCUUCAAUAUCGUCAUAAAUAUUUGCUCUUGUAUCAAUUGCCCAACAUUAAUUUGUUGACCCCUCGUUUGCUAUUUCUCGAGAGAAGCGACUAGUGAAACCUAUGACCUCCGGGUCUACUUCACAUCAACUAUUUGCAAUCUCCACUUUGCUAUUUGCGUUUCUACUUUAUUUACUCUUUUGUUUUAAGAUCUAUAUAAUCCAAAAACCCAAAAAUACCUUGCUGCGUUCUGUUUUCUAUCACUCUUAUUUGCAUCUAUCAAUAUAUCCUUACUUUAGCCGUGAGGGAUUGAUAACCUCUCCACGCGCUGGGUUGCGAGGAUUUGCUAUUUGUUUGCAGGUGAUGCUUACAUAGUCUUGUGGAUCUUCCUACUGGAUUGAUACCUUGGUUUCUUAACUGAGGUAAAUACUUGUCGUCGUUGUGCUACAUCACCUUUUAAGCUUGGAGGGAAACCAAGGCAUCAACGAGACUAAGUAAUGAUGCAUUGAAAUUGUUUCAUGACUAAGAACAUAUGUUGUUAAAUUUCAAGAAGAUGCAUUGUUUGAACCAUGACAUGUGGAUUAAUUACUAUUCUAUCAUAAUGAGUUUCAUGAGAAAAAGUUGUUGGUUAUGAUGUUAGAAAAGUCACUGGAGUUAUCAUUGAUCAAACUUAUACACUAUUCUAGCAUUCACACUUCAUAAAUUAUUUCUUUUAUCAUUUAUCUGCUCGAGGACGAGUAGGAAUUAAGCUUGGGGAUGCUGGUAUAUCUCCAACGUAUCGAUAAUUUAUGAAGUAUUCAUUCCAUAUUUGCCUAUGUUUACAAUAAUUAUAUAUGGUUUUGAUGGACCUUAUUUGAUUUAUUUAGAACUAAUCCGGAUUGUUGUUUUUUAGUAGAACUACUGUGGUGUUCUUUUUUGUGUAGAAAAUGAAAGUUCUCGAAAUCGCGUGGAACUUUUUAUUUUUAUAUUUUAUGGACAAAAUAAGAAGUAUGAGAGCAAAGAACCACUGGACGGGAGCCAUCUAUGGUCCAAUAGGCAACAGGGCAUGAUGACCCAGAAGUAUAGGGGAUCAAUCUUAGUCCUUUCAAUAAGUAAGAGUGUCGAACCCAACGAGGAGCGGAAGUAAAUGAUAAGCAGUUUUCAGCAAGGUAUUCUCUCCAAGUGCUAUUAGUAAUAGCGACAGAUUGUUUUGUUGCAAGAUAAUUCAUAACAAGUGACAACUAACAAUAGUAACAAAGGUGCAGAAAGGUAGCCCAAUCCUUAUUAUAGCAAAGGACAGGCCUCAAAGUUCUCUUAUAUAAAGCAAGUCCUCCCGAGGAUACAUGGGAAUUUUUGUCUAGUCAUGUUCAUCAUAUUGAGUUGAUUCGUAUUUUCUACUUUCAUAAUUUGAUAUGUGGGCGGACUAGUGAUAAGGUGCUAUUAUUACUUGAACUAACAACCUAUUAUGAAUACCCCCUCUCGCAAGCAUCUGAAACUACGAAAGAAUAAUUAAGAUAAAUCUAACCAUAACAUGAAACAUGUGGAUCCAAAUCAACCCCUUAUGAAGCAACACAUAAACUAGGGUCCAAGGUUUUGUCACUCUCAAAAGCCAUCAUCUAUUUUUUACUCCACAAUGGCUUCUCUUAGGCCCAUAACAUGGUGAAGUGUCAUGUAGUCGACGUUCACAUGACACCACUAAGAGAAGUAACAACAUACAUAUCAUCGAAAUAUCGAACGAAUACCAACUUUAUAUGAUUAGUUAUAACAAGACUUCUCCCAUGUCCUCACGAACAAUAGUUAUUACUCACACCUCAUCAACAUGUUCAAGAUCAAAAGUGUAAUAAUAAUAAUUAAGGAUCUGAACAUAAUAUCUUCCACCAAGUAAUCCAACAAGCAUCACAUACAAGAUGUAAUCAACACAACUAGUAACACACAUGUACCAAUCUGAGGUUUUGAGACAGAGAUCGAAUACAAGAUAUGAACUAGGGUUGGAGAUGAGAUGGUGUUGGUGAAAAUGUUGAUGAAGAUUGAUCCUCCCACAAAGGAGGAAGCAUUGGUAAUGACGAUGGCUUUGAUAUCCCCCUUCCAAAGGGAAGUUUCCCAGCAGAAUCUCUCUGCUGAAGAGCAAAAGGGCCUCUGCCCAGGUUUCCGCCUCGAGACGAUGAAGCUUUAUCCCAAAAGAUGACUUGUGAUUUUUCUAGGGUAAAACACACCAUGUUGGAGAAGAUGGUCGCCAGAGGGCCAGCAGGGGCUCAUAAGCCAUCACGGCAUGGCCUAGGGGCGCCCUGUUGGCUUGUGGCCAGCAGGUGGACCCUCUCUUGUAUAUUUUUGGCCCAUAUAUUCUUAAAUAUUCCAUCAAAAGUCUCCAUAAAGUAUCAGGUCGUUUGGAGCAAGUUGAUUUUUCUGCCUUUUUGUCGGUUUCCUCAUCGAGAAUUCCAGUUUACACAUAUUUCCCUCUCAGUGAUGUACUCCCUCUAGUCCUUUUUACUCCGCAUAUUAGAUUUGGAUCAAGUCAAACUUUACAAAGUUUGACCAAAUAUAUAUUGAAAAAUAUCAACAUCUACAAUACCAAAUAUACAUAUCAUGAAACUACCUUUCGCAAUGAAUCUAACAAUAUUAAUUUGACAUUGUGAAUGUUGAUAUAUGUUUCUACAAAUUUGGUCAAAGUAGAGAUACUUUGACUUCGGACAAAGCUAAUAUGCAGACUAAAAAGGACCGGAGGGAGUACCUUGCAUAUAUAGAAAGAAAGAACAUAAGAAUGGUGUUAUAAUAAGGGAUAAUGGACAAGAUUAAUACAAAUAUCAAUAAAUUUCAAGAUGCGAAGUGUAUGUAUCAACUCCCCCAAGCUUAGACCCUCCCUUGUCCUCAAGCGGAACCGAGCUCGAAAAUAAUGACCAGAUGAUUUAAGAGAGAGGUGUUGAUAAAACAGAAUACUAACAUGAGAGCAUCAUGAAUAUUAACAUAGCAGCAAGUAUUUUAUCAUAUAACUUCUCAUAAACAAGUAUCAAUCCAUUCAUAGUAUGAAGCAUAAACCUUAUUGACAAUCAACAAACUAUGUUCUCAAUCAUUGGGACAAUCAAAAUUCAUCAUAAUCCAGAGGAGAGUCUAUGUAAGAGCUUUCAUUUUGGCAAGUUCACAUACUCAACUAUCAUUUAAUCUUUUAUGAUUGCUCACGCUCACAACAUAUUUAUUAACUCAUGUUUCCACAGGACACAUAGGAGGAUAGGGUCUUAAAUGAUUUGCCACCCAACUUAUUUACCUCAAGGAUAAUGUCAAAAGUAAUAAAUCAUGAUCAUCUACAUCCACUUUGAUAUAUAAAUCUGAAUCUUUCCUCAACACAUGUUGCUUGCCACUAUAGAAUUAAUAGGUAGGGAGAGGAAUAAACUUCAUUGGCUCAAGCACGUGAUUGAAUCGUGAAGAUAGGCCCUCCGCAAAGGGAAGUAGAGGUUGUCAUGCGCUUUUAAUUUUUUGGAUGUUUAAACUCUUAAUGCAAAGGAAUGUCACUUUAUAUUGCCCCUUAUGCUAGCAAACUUUAUUAUGCACUCUGUCACUUUUAUUUCUUUGCCAUCACAAGAUCGUACAAAGCUUGUUUUUUCCUUUCAAUAAAAGAUCUUACAUAUUUUGGAGAAAUUUUUAUUGCUUGAUGCACCAAUGAAAACUUACUUGAAGUAUCUUACUAAAUCCAUAGAUAGGUAUGGUGGACUCUCAUGGCAAGAAACUAGAUUUCUGGGUUAUCGAUGCACAAGUAAUAUCUCUACAUCUGCGGAAUUUUUGGGCUAGCAAAGGAUCGAAAGCAAGCAUCACAUGUUGAAGGAUCCAAGACCAUAUAACUUAUAUGUGAAUAUAAAAUACCAUGAUCAUUACGUUGUCUUCCAUGUCCAACAUCAAUACCUGAUCAUUAUAUAAUAUUUGAUGAGGGAUCACAAUCAUAAAAUAUACCCAUGAUAGUGUAUUUAUAUGUUAGUCUCCUCUCCUCUAUCAUAAUGUUGCUUAGAUUGCAAGAGUAACUAAUACUAUGUUUGUUUACUAUCAACAACAUUUAUCACGUAUACCCUUUUUGUGUGAAGUCAUUACUUCUCAUGAUAUGAGCAUAUGAUCUUUAUAUUUCUUUUAUUGACAUGAUAUGACGAUGGGUGCACGCAAGCAAAGCACAAAAAUUCAACUAAUCUUUAUUAUAUAACUCGCAUACUCGAUUACAAGGAUAGAUAGAACUCAAAGCAAAAAAUUCUAAGGAAAUCAAAUCUGAAAUUUAUUUCUCUAAAUCACGAAACAACUAAGGAUCGAACUAAGAUAGACAGUAAUGAUGGAAGUGAUGGUCAUACGAUACCGGGGCACCUCCCCCAAGCUUGGGACAAGCCAAGGAUGGUCCCCAUACCCAUGUACUCAGGCGUCCUCAUCACGUGAUGGCAGUGGUGUAGUAGGGGUGUCCUCCAUCCUCCAGGGUGUAGACUCCCCAUCAUGGAAAUAAAGUUUUGUCCCGGGAGUCCUAACAUCAGCAACGAAGCUCAUCCUCUAAAACCUAGAUACAUACUCACAGUUUUGGGCUUGAAGUUCAUAGAUUUGAUCUUGGAGGUGAUCGAUCCGAUCUUGGAGCUCACAAAGAAUCUCUCCCACGUUCUUUGUGUCCAACUUGUUUUCCCGGAUGAAAUCUGUGAUCAUAGAGUGGUUGGAACUUAGACCACGCUCAACCUUCCCUUGGCACUUGAAGAUCUGUCGCUCCACUGCUGCAAGCCUGGCCUUCUCGCUUCCCUCCUCUUUGGGACCUUGAACAUCCCGGAUAUGGAGCACCUCCACAUGGAUCUCCGUGACGCCCCCAAUUUGAUCAUAUGCUAAUCAUGCACGCAAAUGCGUACGACCAAGAUCAAGGACUCAUGGGAAGAUAUCACAACACAACUCUAGACACAAAUAGAAGUCAUAGAAGCUUCAGAUUACAAGCCACGGGCCUCGAGGGCUCGAAUAGAUAAGCUCCGGAAACACACGAGUCAGCAGAAGCAAAUAAUAUCGGAGUACAGACAUAAAACUAGGAAAUUCCUUAGAGAAGGCUAUAAAAAAGAUACCAUAUCGAAUGAGGCGAGGCCUCUUGCGUGGGAACCUCGUAAACUACUACUGGUCGUCAACGGACUCCACGUAGUAGUAGGCACCGUCGGGGUUGUGUACGUCGUCGGCGGAUACACCAUCUCCUGGGCUCCAUCAUCUGGUCGCGACAAUCAUAUCAAGGGUAAAAGGGGGAGCAAAGCAAUGGUGAGUACUCAUCCAAAGUACUCGCAAGUCUGACAUCACACCUAUGCUAAAUAUGCAUCAGUAUUAAAGGAAAGGGGUUAUAUCUGGAUUGACUGUAGAAAUGAGAGAAGAAAGAGAAGGGACUAGUCCUAUCAAAGACUAGCAUCUUCAGCGUCUUGCAACAUUGGAAGAGAGUAGAGCAAUAACAGAAUUGUAUAGUCAUAUUGUAGCAGCAAAUUUAAUUAAGUAGCUCCUAUAGAUUCUUCCUCGACUCCUUGCAAGAAAGCAAUCUCGGAGCAAACAUUCCAUUUAAGUAACAGUUCUAGUUGUAUUAGAUUGGGAUACAAUUCCAAGUCGUCCUGUAACCGUGGACAUGACUAUUCGAAUAGUUAAUUUUCAUCCGCGCAGGGGUGCACCAAAUUACCCAACAUGCUUGAUAAACUCUAGCCGAACACACUUUCCUCGGUCAUGCUCGGCCUCGGAAAAUCAACACGUCGCAACCCUACCUAGGCUCAACAGAGAGGUCAUGGGCCCAUCACCCUUUGCACUCCUGGCACCUCUUAUACAAGAACGAUACUUACGCAGACCACUCGAGCGCGCGCCGCUCCAUUGCUGACGUCUGAAUUACUUCGGCUGAUAUUACGACAUCGAGCACCCAUAACUUAUCCCACAUAAAGCUUAGUGCGAAAAGGUCUACGACCAACUCAGAUCAAAUACUCAAAUCCCGUUCGCGUGUUAAUUAACACUGCAGCGACGAUCAGCAAUCCAUGAUAUGUGGUCUUGUCGCCCCGACUCGAGGAUGUGUGGCAUGGGCCAAGAAUGCCCGACCAUGCCUCAUCACAUCCACACGGGAAUCCACCCGCAACACACCUCAUCAUGUUCCCGGUCAAGUAAUUGUGAGUCUGUAACAUCAAAAGGAUCCGAGAUAUCACCCUCGAUGGAUUCUGAAUGAUGUAACUGUCAAGGCGAUCAGGGAGGAAUCACCCUCGAUGGUCCACUCUUGAGGGGUUGUACGACAGAGUCGUUAUUGGAAGUGGUGCAAGAGGAAUCACACUCCAUGAACGACCAACGGUUAACGACACUACAGAGCUAACAUUAGGAGUACGUAACGAGGUGUCACCCUCGGUACCCGAUAGUAGCUCUACAGCGUCGUACAACAACGGGGUCUAUGAGUGAUGUGAUGGGUCUUGGAUCGUCGAUUAGUAGAUCGAGACUUCGAUGAUAAAGCAUGGGCAGCUAGGUCUAAGGGGUCAAUGGGGAUCACUGCUCCACCUAUAGUAAGCAACUAAAGUACGCUAGAGUAUAACAACAACAAAAUAGGGGCUAUCAACAACAGUAGCAAAAUCUAAUGCAAGAAUCAGGGAGAAAGAAUGGACGAUAUAGGAAUGAUCAAAGGGGGGGUUGCUUUACUUGUUGCUCUGCAGCAAAGGGUUGUCGUCAGGAGGGUAGUCGUACCCGUAACAACGUCAGUCUCGGGGUCUACCGGAGAGAAGAGUGGGUAGAACAAUAAAUAUAAAGCAACAGAUGCAUCCCGAUGCAUGACAUGGCAAUAUGCAGUGCUAGGGAUAAUCUAAUGCAGUACUACAUGUUACUGACGGAGCAGGAUAAUAUCUAACGAUAUUUCCGGGUCUUUUCCUAUUUCUAGAGAGAUAAUUCAAAGGGGAAAGUUCCAUGUUCAUCAUGCUAGGCGCAUGUGACAUAAGAACGGACAGCGUAUUCGAAUUUGUUGGAUUUUUCUGAGCAACUUUCAUAUNNNNNNNNNNNNNNNNNNNNNNNNNNNNNNNNNNNNNNNNNNNNNNNNNNNNNNNNNNNNNNNNNNNNNNNNNNNNNNNNNNNNNNNNNNNNNNNNNNNNGAGAGGGAGGGCACGGAAGCCCACUAAAAUAGGGGGGACCUCGACGUUGGUGCCCUCACGGCGGCAACACAUUCUCCUCUGUUGGACUGGCGGAAAGGGGCAGAGAGGCGGGAGACGGCAUCAGGGAGGAAGAAAGGAUGCCGUGUGGGCUCCUGUGCGCACGGGGAGAGGAAAAGAUGGGCCGGCCUGUGGGAGUGAGCCCACAGGUGGUGCCACUUAAGAGGAAACACUCCCUGGACUUCUCUAAUUACAGAAAUAACAGGGAGUAAAAGAAAAGUACAAGAAAAACUACAAGUGCAAAAAUCGAAAUGGCACUUGCAUUGGACAUGUAAAAACAAGACCUAAUUAAUAAAAAUGAGAACAAGAAUUUAGGAGCAAGUAAUUAUUUUACAAAUCAGCCAUGGUAGGGACUGUUUUGUANGAAGAGGUGAAACUUGACAUAGAGAAGAAUUAGAGAGAGAGGGAGGACGGUUUGAAACCUAAGCAAACACUAUCACAUGCAUCACCCCACACAAGCUAUACAUCACAUGCACAUCAACACAAGGCAUCAUAUGAAAUCACAAGAACACAAAGCAACAACAAGAACACAUGGCAUGAUAUGGAAUGCAUGCAUGCAAAGGAAGAGAAAUUAAUAAGGUGACAUCACAUGAAAUCAUAAAUGCAUAUGACUAUCUCAUAUCAAUGACAAGGUGGUUCGACAUGGAAGGUUACAAAAAGGGAAGGCUUUGCACUUGGGGCAUUACAUCAAGCUCCCAAUCUUCAGAGUUACGUUUGAUUCUUUCCAAUAAAUUCCACUUAUGGUCAAUAUCCUUCUUCAUAAAAGAACCGGUACAAGAAGUGUCAAGCAUGGUACAAUUUUCAUGAGAAAGCCGAGCAUAAAAGUUUUGAGUGAUAAUUUCUCUCGAGAGCUCAUGAUUGGGGCAUGAAUAUAGCAUUGAUUUAAGCCUCCCCCACGCUUGAGCUAUGCUUUCCCUGUCACGAGGCCAAAGGUUAUAAAUAUAAUUCCGAUCACGAUGUACUAAAUGCAUAGGAUAGAACUUUUGAUGAAAUUCCAAUUUCAACCGAUUGUAGUCCCAUGAUCCAGUAUCAUCACAUAGCCUAUACCAUGUUAACACCCUAUCCUUCAAAGAUAAAGGAAAUACUUUAUUCCUUACCUCAUCCUCGGGCAAACUUGCAAGCUUAAAUAAACCACAAACUUCAUCUACAUAGAUUAGAUGCAAGUCUGGAUGUGAUGAUCCAUCUCCUGUGAAAGGAUUAACCAGCAGUUUCCGAAGCAUACCCGAAGGAAUUUCAUAAAAGAUAUUUUCAGUAGGUACCUCACGUUGAGGAGCAACUCCUCGUGCUUCUGUUCGUGGUGAAGAUACCCCGAACAAAUUCCUCAAAGGAACAGUUUCCAUAGUGACAAGUGACAAUAAAUUUCAGCACAGUAUAUAAAUGUUUCCUUACCAAAUUCCACUUACCAAAGGCACCUGCUCCCCGGCAACGGCUGCAUAAAAUAGUCUUGAUGACCCAAAAGUAUAGGGGAUCAAUCAUAGUCCUUUCUAUAAGUAAGAGUGUUGAACCAAACGAGGAGAAGAAGGCUCUGAUAAACGGUUUUCAGCAAGGUAAUAACUGAAAGCACUGAAAGUAGCGGUAACAAGUGAUGGUGUAGUGAGGUGAAACGUAGCAAGCGAAAAGUAACAAGUAACAAGUAGUAGCAACGGUGCAGCAAAGUGGCCCAAUCCCUUUUGUAUCAAGGGACAAGCCUGAACAAAGUCUUAUAGGAGGAAAAACGCUCCCGAGGACACACGGGAAUUUCUGUCGUGCUAAUUUCAUCAUGUUCAUGUCAUUCGCGUUCGUUGCUUUGAUAGUUUGUUAUGUGGGUGGACUGGCGCUUGGGUACUGCCCUUACUUGGACAAGCAUCCCACUUAUGAUUAACCCCUCUCGCAAGCAUCCGCAACUACGAAAUAAGAAUUAAGACAACGUCUAACCAUAGCAUUAAACUAGUGAAUCCAAAUCAGCCCCUUACGAAGCAACGCAUAUACUGGGGUUUAAGCUUCUGUCACUCUAGCAACCCAUCAUCUGCUUACUACUCCCCAAUGCCUUCCUCUAGGCCCAAAUAUGGUGAAGUGUUAUGUAGUCUACGUUCACAUAACACCACUAGAGGAAAAGACAACAUACAUCAUAUCAAAAUACCGAACGAAUACCAAAUUCACAUGACUAUUAUUAGCAAGACUUAUCCCAUGUACUCAGGAACAAAAGUAACUACUCACAAAGCAUAAUCAUAAUCAUGAUCAGAGGUGUAAUGAGUAGCAUCAAGGAUCUGAACAUAAACUCUUCCACCAAGUNNNNNNNNNNNNNNNNNNNNNNNNNNNNNNNNNNNNNNNNNNNNNNNNNNNNNNNNNNNNNNNNNNNNNNNNNNNNNNNNNNNNNNNNNNNNNNNNNNNNGCCGCUCCAUUCCCCAUCUCCUUCCUUCUUUCUUUCCCCCUCCUCGUAAGCUCUGUAGCUAGGACAGAGAAGGACUUCGUCGCCGAUCGCCGCCCCCAUCGUCGUCCAGUGCCGCGGCCAUGUCCAGGGGCACGGGGAAGGUGCCCGCUCCCCAUUUUCGUCCUUGGUGAGGUCAAGGAGCGUCCUCACCGACGACCAGGAGCUUGCUGAUGCCGCGGACCCGGUGCUCCUUCGCUUCUGCUUCGGUUCUGCGUCAGGAACUUCUUCGGCUUCAAUCUUCUUCCCCUCNCCGAUCGGCGCCCUUCCUCCUUCCCCUAGGUGAGCAGGAGCUCCUCCCUCCUUCCUCCCUCCUUCUCGUCGCCUAGAUCAAACAGGGCUUGCCGGAGUUGCCCCUGUUAGGAAGUAGACCGAGGUGUUUUGCGUGUUGUUGUGUCUGUUGUGUUGUGCUCGGGCAGACCAGUGCAAGCAUGGACUCCCUUCCCCACGUAUCAGUCGAGCAGUAGCAGUAGAGCACUCCCCCUCGUUGGAUCUGUAGCAGAGUAGUGCACCCGCAUCCUCCCUGUCGCCGGCAAGCUCUAUAGGUAGAGCAGGGCCCCCCCUGCUAGUUUACCAUGAUUGUGUAUCGCCCUCUGUCAGGCUCCUAUUCCAUAGCUCAGUCGUAUGUCUUCGCGUUUGUAUUCGUGAGGUGGUGGGUUUGAUCCCACGGGAAGCCUCCACCCUUUUUGUUGGUUUAAUUCCGUAUAGUAGUUUGCGCAUCAGAGCAUGUUUUCCUUGCUGUGAUAGACUAUUCUGUCAAGUGCUUGGCUCUAGCAGAGUGGUAGUUGAUGUUGUGGUUUAACACAGGGGUGCAGGUUCGAAUCCUCUCCCCCCCCCCCAUUUUAUUUUUUUUGUUGUGUGUUCCUGGGCAUGUGUAUGUGCUGUGUGCACUAGGUAGAGUGGAGGUAUUAUUUUGUUGCUAUCAUCAGCUUGUGGUUUCUGUUUCUUUUGCUCCAAGUCACAUAACUUGAGGUUGUGCUUGUGGAUUCAUGUGCAUGUGUAGGGGAGUGUUGCACGUAAGUGUGUGUUUUACUUGUGAGUUUUACUUGUGUGCCUUGGUAGGCUAGAGCAUGUGGGUGCUAGUCAUCCUCAUGGUGGUUGCCUUGUGCAAGUUUGUGUGUGUGUGAAGGGUUCCCUCCCUCUCCACAUAUCAUGUGGUGUGUGUGUAUGUGGGUAUGUGUGUGACCAUGUGUGUGUCUCACCCAUGUCAUGACAAGAUAUGACUGGGGGAGCACAUGGGCAAGAUAUCAUUUUUGUGUAGAAUUAUUUAUGUGAUCUAUGUGAGUAGUGCCAUCCAUCUAGUUAUGUAGGUGUUUAUCUAUCAUGUGCUUGUUGCUAGUGAUGGUGUGGUGAUGUUCCAAUGCACAUAGUCAUGAGGACUACCUCUCAUGUACCCCAUAGAUAAUGUGAUCAUGUGUUUAUGCUUAUGUAGGAUUGAUAUAGUGAAUAGCACAUGUGAUGAUGCACUAUUCACUAUAUAUAUGAUUCCAUGUGGAUUUCCUUUGCUAGUUUGAGCUCAUUUCUUCCAUGCAAGUGCAUAGGUAUUAUAUAUGAUUUUGGGGUUUAAUCUCCCAAGGAAUCCAUCGGUGAACUUAGUUUUGCCAUUGGAACACUUUCUGGAGAUGACAUAUUCAGAUUUGUUCUAAGUUUAGUCCUUGUUUCCAUGGAGUGUGAUGAGCCCAAGGGCGUGUUAUUUUGUUGUGGCAAUAGAGGGUGAUCCCCUCUAUAGCUUGUUGGUGUCAUUUCUCACUUAGGGUAUCUUGUGUGCAAGUUGUGCCUAGACAAAGUGGGCAUGUGGCUGAAAUUCCAGAUUAGUGAAAAUCUGAGAUUUUCACUAAGUCUGAGAAUCUGUUUAUAUUUUCUUCUCCUGUUGAUGAGGUUCUGCAGGUCAAUGUGUUCCGAUCUAGCCUUAGCUUUCAACUGGAAAGUUGGAGCUGAUAUGUUUGUCUAGCUCCCUGCAAAAUUUCAUUCCAUUUGGAGUCCUGUAGAUGUUGUUUUGGUUGCUGUCAAAAUGCUUCAGACCAUAGACAAAAAGUGAGAAUCUGGAAUUUUCACUAAGUCCCUGAAAUCUGAUAUUUUUGGGCAAGUUUGCAGCCUUGUAACUUUCCGGGUUUAAUUCCUUUGUGUGUGAUUCUUGCUUGUGCUGAUAUUACUCUUGGAUAGCUACAGCCACAUAUAUUAUUUGUCAUAUUUGGGUGGCUGAAGGUGCUUUGCAUGUAGCUCACAAAGUCCUAUGAUGUAGUUUAUGGCAGAUUGUGUAGUUUUGUCAUUUUGACGUUUGUGUGUGCUUAGUUGAUGAUGUGGUGUUCUUCUUUGCUCCACCCCAUCCAUGUUGGGUUGUUUUAUGUCUUGGUAAGAUAGAGAUACCAGAGUUGUGCCAUUUGGGUGUGUGGUGAUGAAUUUGACACAUACGGCUUCAUAUCUUGUUUCGUUGAUUCCCGUUGAUCCGUAGCUCCGUUUGUAAUGUACUUUAUAUGAUUUUGCAUCGUUUUCUCGAGACACAUAUGAUCAUGUCAUUCUCAUGCAUGUCAAUAUAGGUUAUGAUGCAGUUCUGUCCAGGAACAUGUAAUUGCUUCUCAUGCUUGUGCUAGCGAUAGAAAUAGUGAUGCAUGCUCAUAUUCAUCUCAUGCAUCAUGUGCUUGUUGCAUCUUGAGGUGCUGUUGUUCAUUGGAUGUUAUUCUUAUGUUCGGUAGCAUCGGGAUCGGAGAACGAGUACGUGGAUUCGGGAGAGUACGUGCAGGACGAACAAGAACCAUUCCAAGUUGAGGAUAUCACGGGCAAGAUGACAUGACCUUGAUUCCAUAUCUAGACUUGUUAUGCUAGAUUAUGUUACUUCCAUCUUAUGCUCGCUGCCUACCACUGAAUUAAAUCUCCUCCUGAUAUGCGAUGAAACCAAACACUUGUUCCUUCCUAACAAACUUGAAUGGCUAAGUAGGCUUUGCUCAGCUACUAAUGUUAGCGUUGCUAGAUGCAGGUGCUUUGCCUCAUGUGAUAACAUGAGCUUGAUAUCAUUAUUUUAAUUAUGUUAUUUAAUUAAUGCACCUAUAUACUUGGUAAAUAACGAAAGGCCUAGCCUUUUGUCGGGUGCUUUGUUCCGUUAUUGCCGACAUAGUUAUCGGCUACCGGUGUUUGAUUCCGUAUUCAUCGCUCCUAACACGUUCGGGGUUGUUAUGGGUACCCCCGAGACAGGUGAUCCCGACGGCACGCAGCUGGCGUGUCAGUACGAUGAGGAUAACGACCGCCUGUACGUGAACUAUCCAGAAGAUUGAGCCGUGGUCGUGAUCGUGGGCCAGCAGGCAGGGCAGCAUAGCCUUUUCCCUUGUUUUGUAGUCCGUAGCGGAACUACUUUGAUUGUAUGCGUGAUCUACUCUGAUAUAUUUAUGAGAUGGCAAUUGAACCCCUUAUUUUCAUUCUGUUGAUAUUAUGUAUGUGCUAUGAUACCUUGUUUGCGAGAUGCUUAGAUGCACUUCUUUCCAAUUCGGGGCCUCGAUCCCCAGAUCGGAAAGGACCGCAUCUUAGUCGUUACAAGAUGGUAAUCAGAGCCUUACGACCGUAGGAGCCUUUGUGUGAUCGUACUUGGCCGAGUCGAGUCUAGUAAAAUGUUUUGAGUCUUAGUUAUAUCAGAGAGUAGGAUUCUUUUUUCUCCUCUUCCAUGCUCUGGUGAGGUUCCCAUCUUAGGAAAUCUUAAAUUCUACUCCUCUUCUCGCUCAAAAAAUUUUUAGGAUCACGCGGGUAUUCGUGAAAUCUAUAUGAUUUCGAUGUGAUGGAGUUCUGUCUUGGUGCCUCCUGUCUGCCUUGAUUUCUUCCGGGGAGUUGAGCUCUAGGGGAUUCUUGCGCACAUCGCCAUCAUUCAGAUUUCUGAGUAUCUAAGAACAAAGGAUGUUCGUUAUUGCUUCAAUACUGGUAGUGGCCAGAUAACCCCGAUGUCCCCAGUACUGGUGCAGAUUGUUCGGGAGUACUGCCAUACUUGGUAUCGUUGUAAUCACGAGGGUUUGUUGUAGAUGAAGGUCCGAGAUGCUGGUUGUGUGUUGACGGAUGUGAUACAGGUGACGGGUUAGUAUAGGAGUUGUGUGAUAUUACUCCUUGUAUCCGUGUACCAGAUAGUAUGACCAGUUAUGUCGGGAAUUCAUAGGUGGGAUAUCAAGUAGUAUCUUAUAGGACUAUCUUCCUACAGAUGCAUGAUUCAGGUUGGGAUUCGAUGUUCAGUGGGUGCAUUUGUUGACGGUCGUCUUACAGCGGUUCUCGUUGUGUCUUAAAGAGUCCUUGUAGCUCGCUACGACUCGGGGAUACUUCGUAUGUCAUGUGCACCGCCUUGCACAAGAUGGCUGCUGUAAAUUCGAACCCGUGCGAUCUUAUCCACGAAGAUAUCGGAUGAAAUCUUGAUCAUAUGUUUGUUCCGAGCAGUUCUAGCUCACACUUUUUUGCAGUGGUCUUAAUCGGAAUUUUGUCGACCGUCACUUUGAGGAAGCAUUUGUACUAUUUUGUUCGAAUGCAAUUGCUUACUCAUGUUCAUAUAUUCCUGUCAUUUUGAUUCAGCUAUAUCUUCAAUUUAUUCUAUGGUCUAAUGUGUUGUCCGUCUUCAGGAUGGCUCCACCAACUCGUCAGAACCCAGGGCGUGAGGAUAUGCCGCCACCACCUCCUCCUCCGGAGAGUCCUCCGUCGCCGCCGCCUCCUCCUGCAGAGGCCUGGCAAGCGGAGAUGGCUGCUACUAAUGCAAACACCCAGAUGCUGCUACAGUUGUUGCAAGAGAGAGCUAAUCAGCAGCAAGGCAAUUUCCAACAUGGUGGCAAUCGACUUGCUAGUCUGAGUCAGUUCCUGUCGAACUAGCCAAAGACUUUCACUUCCUGUGACCAGCCAUUUGAUGCAGAGGAUUGGAUCCGUGAUAUGAACAAGAAUUUCGAGUGUAGCAAUGUGCGUCCUGAGGAUUUCGCCAAAUUUGCAACAUUCCACUUGAAGGGGCAGGCUUCUAUCUGGUGGCAACAGCUAAAGGACUCCAGAGGCCCUAGGGUGAUCACUUGGGAUGAGUUCUGUCGUGACUUCAGGUCCCACUACAUUCCUUUCACCUUUGUGGAGGAGAUGCGUGAGAAGUUCACGCGUUUGAAGCAGGGUCGCAAUUCCGUGUACAAGUACAACGUUGAGUUCCACGAGCUAGCCUGAUACGCGUUGCAGGAUAUCCCUGAUCAGAAGAGCAAGAUUUAUCAGUUCAGAGGUGGCUUGAAAGAAGAUUUGCAAUUAACUCUUGCUUUGCAUGAUCCUGAGGAGUUCGACAAGUUCUACAACCUAGCUCUCAGGGCAGAGACAGCCUUGCUUAGGGUGGAGAAUUCUAAGAAGCGCUUCAGAGAUUCCAGCUCUUCCUCNNNNNNNNNNNNNNNNNNNNNNNNNNNNNNNNNNNNNNNNNNNNNNNNNNNNNNNNNNNNNNNNNNNNNNNNNNNNNNNNNNNNNNNNNNNNNNNNNNNNCUUUAGUGGCUUCUCUCUCAAAGAAGGCAUAUAGUGGGUAAACAAAUUACUGUUGGGAAAUUGAUAGAAAAGUGCAUAUUUAUGCAAUAUUUAUUCACGAAAAUGAUCAUGUGUAUAUAAGAAUCACAUCCGUAAGAACGUAGACGAACUCCUGCCUGCAUCUAUUAUUAUUACUCCGUCGAUCGACCCCUAUCCAACAUGCAUCUAGAGUAUUAAGUAAAAUAGAGUAAUGCUUGGAGAACAAUGACAUGAUGUAGACAAAGAAAAUACAAUUAAUACGAAUCAACCACAUCAUUUUAUACUUAGUGAUAGCAAUGCAAAUACGUGUCUUUUCCCCUACUUUGUCACUGGGAUGUAGAUCACCAAAAGAUUGAACCCACUAUAGCGCACCUCUCUCACUUAAGAUAGAUCAAUCUAGUUGGCCAAAGAAAAUCAAUAGAUCACAAAGAAUUACGAAGCUAUAAUAAUCACGCAAAUAAGAAUCAAAUAGUUUUAUCAUGAAUAAUCUAAACAUAAACCCACAUUUCAUCGGUUCCCAACAAACGUACCGCACAAAGUGAUUACAUCGAAUAGAUCAUUGCGAAGAUGCGAUGAACUUUGUAUUGAAGAAAAUAGAGAGAUAGAGAGCCAUCUAGGUACUAGCUAUGGAACCAUAGGUAUGUGGUGAAAUACUCACAAAUCACCAUGGGAGAAGCAAGGUUGAUGUAGAGGUCCUUCGUGAUCGACCCCCCCUCCGCCAAGGCACCGAAAAAGGGCUCCAGAUGGGCACACGAUGGAACGGAGAUUUGCAACGACGGAAAAAAUGUUUUGGGAGAUCCCCUAGGAUUUUUGGAAUAUAUGAGUAUUUAUAAGCCAGAGAACAAGGUCAGGAGAUACGAGAGGGGCCACAAGCCAAGAGGGCACGUCCACCCCCUCGGCGCGCCAUAUUGGCUUGUGGGACCCUCAUGCGGCCUCCGGUCUUCUCCCAAACCUUCUAGGUCUUCUUUUGAUCCAGAAAAAUCAUCAAAAAGUUUCAUGGUAUUUGGACUCCAUUUGGUACUGUAGACCUAAAAAGCCAAAAACAUGUAGAGAAUAGCAACUGCCAUUUGGCAUUAGGUUAAUAGGUUAGUGGUCAAAAAUAAUAUGAAUGAGCAAAUAAAUGCCCAAAAAGUAUCAUAGAAUGAUAACAUUACAGCAUGGAACAAUAAAAAAUUAUAGAUACGUUGGAUACAUAUCAAUGUGUGAGUAGUUCACCACACACUUACACGUGUGUAGUUAGUACCUAGAUGGUUAUCUCUCUCUAUGUUCUUCAUUGGUAAGAUCACUGUGAUUCCCAAAGUGAUCUAUCUUAUGUAGUCACUUUUGCGGUGUGUUUGUUGGGAUUCGAUGAAUUGUGGGUUUAUGUUCAGAUUAUUCAUGAAUAAAUAUUUGAGUCUUAUCUAAACUAUUAUAUGCAUGAUUGUUAUAGAUUCAUAAUUCUCUUCGAUCUUUCGAUAUGGUUUGGCAACUAGAUUGUUUUAUCUUGAGUGGGAGAGGUGUGUUGUAGUGGGUUCAAUCUUGUGGUGCUCAAUCCCAGUGAUAGAAAGGGACAUGGCACAGGUUGUAUUGAUGCCAUUAAGGAAACAUUGGGGUUCAUUCAUAUUAAUUGGAUUUACUUCAUCUACGUAAUGUCAUCAUCCUCCAAGCAUUACUCUGUUUUUACUUUAUACUCUAGAUGCAUGUUGGAUAGCGGUCGAUGGGUGGAGUAAUAGUAGUAGAUGUAGGAAGGAGUAAGUCUACUUUCUUGUGGACGUGAUGCCUAUAUACAUGAUCAUUGUCGUAAAUAAAUAUUGCAAAACUAUGCACUUUCCUAUUAAUUGUUGAACAGUAAUUUGUCUACCCACCGUAUGCUUUCUUCGAGAGAGAAGCCUCUAGCGAAAACUAUGGCCGAGGGUCUCUUCACAAAUAUAUUACUAAAAUAAAAAAAUACACCUCAUCCUUUUAAUAUNNNNNNNNNNNNNNNNNNNNNAUUUAUUUUUAUUAUUUAUCUAUCAAUAGUUAUCACUUGUAAGUAACGAGUUCAAAGGGAUUGCCAACUCCCUUGCCCGUGUUGGGUGCUAGUGUGUGCUCUUUUGUGUGUAGGUGCUAAAGACGGGAAAUUGCGUGGUCCUCCUAUUAUUUCAAUAACCUUGGUUCUCACUAUGGGAAAUACUUACCUUUACUAUGCUGCAUCACCCCAUCCUUUUGGGGACAAUCCGAACGUAAUUCACAAGUAUCACAAAGGAUUUAUGUCACCGUUGCGGGGGAGUAUCACCAAAUUCUUAUAAGGUACCUACACACAAAUUAGAAUUCACUUGUUCUAGUCUCUACUUGCCUAGAAAUGCUAUCUUUAUUUUUGUCACACUAAAACAGACAGUAAAACAAAAAAAUAAAAUAAAUGGAUGCUCAUCCACUUGCUAAUCUUUUCAAAAGACCCGACUAUGUUGAACCAACUGCUAGUGAGUUGAGUGCACUAGAUUAUCUUUUUGAGUUCUUGCUGGAAUAUCGUGAAUCUCAAAAUUGUGAUGAAGUGUUAAAAGAAAUUUAUAAAGUGAUUCAUGAUAGUUCCUUGAAUAAAAUGCAUGAUUGCAAUUUUGCAAGUACAAACUCUAUGAAUAUUAAUUGUGCUAAUGAUCAUGAUUGUGGUGAUAAUCAUGAUAAUUCUUGUGACCUUGAGAAUUAUGAGCUUCAUGUUGAAUCUACUAUUGAUAUUCAAAUUGUCAGUGCUUCAUUCUUCCUACUUGCAUAUGCUAGACAUUUAUUGUCUUGAUAAAAAAAUUUCUUAUAAAAUGCAUAUGCAUAGGAAGUAUGUUAGACUUAAAUUUGCUUGUCACAUAUUUAAUGAUGCUCUCUUUGUGCUUUAAUUCUUUUAUUUCAUGUGAGCAUCACUAUUAUCCCAAACCCAUAUUAAUGGCUACAAAGAAAGAGCUUGUUGGGACACAACCCAAUACUUUCUAUAAUUUUGAGUUAACAUGAUUAUUUCUAUUGAAAUGAUUGUGUUUUAGUGUUUUAGUUAGUGUUUGUGCCUCAUGGCCUUGGAGAGGCGCGUCCUCGCCGGCAAGGCCACCCUCGUGGCGGAGCGCGAGGAGGCCCUUGCUAGUGCAAACGCGGGGGUAGCUCGAUAGCGGGCGGCCACCAUGGAGGAGUACCACGGCUAGCUCGCCCGACAAGAGACCUUCCUCCAGCUUAAGUACGAUGCGCUCCAAGAGGAGGUAAGUGCGCUCAGGGUCCGUCUGUAUGGGCUCAAGCCGCCCUAGAAGCCACCUCCAGGAGCGAGGGGAGGCCAAGGAGGAGAUGACAUUGCUCCUGGCCCAUGUUGGUGAAGCCGUCGAUGUUGCGCAUGCGGCCAAGGACGAUGUGGUGCACAUGCGAUGCACGACGGCGCAUGCGUGUCACAUGGAGGAGAGGUGUGCCCUGUGGUUCAAGGGAGUUGGCCCUGCACGCGGGCACCACGCUCCACCGCUUCAUCAGGGAUGCCCCCACGCCGUCGUGAACUUAUGGCGAUGGAGGCCACCCCGACUUCCUCCUCAUGGUGGUGGAGGCACUAGAGUCGAGCGCUUCCAAGGUGGAGGAAGACAUCGAGUCCGGCGUGCGCGACCUCCUCGGCAACACGCUCACGCGCGUCUUCUCCAACCUGUGCCGCCACAAUCCCACGUUUGACCUAUCUCGUGCGAGGGAGACGGUCCGUGUGGAGCUCUAGAGCCCUCUCAGGGACAAGGUGCGCGGGCAGGUGGAGUCUCUGGUUGGGCGGUUCGCCCAGACAGUGCCUCCCAAGGAGGGCGAUAGCCNNNNNNNNNNNNNNNNNNNNNNNNNNNNNNNNNNNNNNNNNNNNNNNNNNNNNNNNNNNNNNNNNNNNNNNNNNNNNNNNNNNNNNNNNNNNNNNNNNNNCAUGGACGGAGAGGCGGAGCCGUGCGUACCUCGAAGGUGAUGUGGCUGGCGCAGAAGUAGUCGGCCUCGACGGCGAAGGAGGCGGAGUAGAAGGUGCCGACCUGGUGCCCCGACGGGUCGGUGUCCGACGCCCGCGCGUUCCAUGUGAUCACCGUGCGCCCGGUCCCCAUGCCGAUCAGCGACACGAACGGCUUCGUGAUCGGCACCGUCACCUUCUCCCU
rnacentral:lncRNA from 1 species